UACGUAGGUCCCGAGCGUUGUCCGGAUUUAUUGGGCGUAAAGCGAGCGCAGGUGGUUUAUUAAGUCUGGUGUAAAAGGCAGUGGCUCAACCAUUGUAUGCAUUGGAAACUGGUAGACUUGAGUGCAGGAGAGGAGAGUGGGAUUCCAUGUGUAGCGGUGAAAUGCGUAGAUAUAUGGAGAAACACCGGUGGCGAAAGCGGCUCUCUGGCCUGUAACUGACACUGAGGCUCGAAAGCGUGGGGAGCAAACAGG
rnacentral:rRNA from 1 species